rnacentral:rRNA from 1 species
AGCAGUAGCCACGGUAAAACGUAGGUGGCAAGCGUUGUCCGGAAUUAUUGGGCGUAAAGGGCUCGCAGGCGGUUUCUUAAGUCUGAUGUGAAAGCCCCCGGCUCAACCGGGGAGGGUCAUUGGAAACUGGGAAACUUGAGUGCAGAAGAGGAGAGUGGAAUUCCACGUGUAGCGGUGAAAUGCGUAGAGAUGUGGAGGAACACCAGUGGCGAAGGCGACUCUCUGGUCUGUAACUGACGCUGAGGAGCGAAAGCGUGGGGAGCGAACAGGAUUAGAUACCCCCGUAGUCCCUGUCUCUUAUAC